rnacentral:misc_RNA from 1 species
GGAAGGAUCAUUAACACUUCCGAUUAUCUAACUUUACCCGCAUCCUGUUCCCACCCGGGGACAGUCUUACGUUCCUUUAAUAAAACUAACUAAGUUACAAACAAACACCAUUUUCAACGACGGAUAUCUAGGUUCCCAUUACGAUGAAGAACGCAGCAAAGUGCGAUAAGCAAUGCGAAUUGCAGAAAACCGCGAGUCAUCAGAUUUUUGAACGCAAUUGGCGCCUUGGGCCCUCCCUAAGGCAUGUUUGUUUCAGUGUGCCCUACUAACUACAAAACAUAAUGCUUGAGAAAGUUCUCAGGUUAAGUUAGGUGCGGCAACCCGCAAUCCGAAGCAGUAGUCACACUUACGUGGACCUCUUUGGACUAGGGUGAAGCACAGACUCAUCUACAUUUCAACACCUGAAGCAAGCAGGAGCACCCGCUAAACUUAAGCAUAUUACUCAGCGGAGGAAAAGAAACUAACUAAGAUUGCCCCAGUAACUGCGAGUGAAGAGGCAAGAGCUCAAAGUUAAAAUCGGGUGGCACUCGCUACUCGAAUUGUAACCUCAAGGGGUGGACAUAAGUCGGAUUGAUGCGUAAGUUCCGAGGACUCGGACGCCAUAGAGGGUGAAAGCCCCGUAUAUAGCAUCGGUCCGGCGAAUGGAAGCCUUCUCAGAGUCGGGUUGUUUGGUAAUGCAGCCCUAAAUGGGAGAUAAACAUCUUCUAAAGCUAAAUAUGAAUGGGAAUCCGAUAGCGAACAAGUACUGCGAAGGAAAGAUGAGAAGAACUUUGGAAAGAGGGUUACAAGACUUGAAAUCGUUGAGAAGGAAGCGGUAGAGAUCCAUUAUUCGAUGACCGCAAAAGGCGCAUAAAACCAGCUAGUUGUGCGUACGUUAAAGGCGCACGGCGAAACUUGGGAGUAUGCGCUCCGUCACGGGAAGUCGAAACACAGGAUCAAAUCGCGUGCUCUUAGUAGCGACCACUCUAGGGAGCAAUCUCUGUGUGGCUAGUGAAAGGGCCGACGGUUUGAGGGGCCUUCGGGCGAUCUUGUGAAAAUGGUCUUUUCCGUCCCGUCUUGAAACACGGACCAAGGAGUCUAACAUAUAUGCGAGUGUGCUGGUGUCAAACCGAUACGCGAAAUUAAGGUGAAAUAUGCCAGGCGCAAGCUGCAGCAUAGGCCGACAACGGGAUAUAUCCCGAGGAUUGAGCAAGAGCAUAUCUGCUAGGACCCGAAAGAUGGUGAACUAUGCCUGUGCAGGGAGAAGUCAGGGGAAACCCUGAUGGAGGCUCGUAGCGAUACUGACGUGCAAAUCGUUCGUCAUACAUGGGUAUAGGGCGAAAGACCAAUCGAACUAUCUAGUAGCUGGUUCCUUC